GAAUAUUGGACAAUGGGGGGAACCCUGAUCCAGCCAUGCCGCGUGUGUGAAGAAGGCCUUUUGGUUGUAAAGCACUUUAAGCGAGGAGGAGGAGCUCUUGGUUAAUACCCAAGAUGCUUGGACGUUACUCGCAGCAUAAGCACCGGCUAACUCUGUGCCAGCAGCCGCGGUAAUACAGAGGGUGCAAGCGUUAAGCGGAUUUACUGGGCGUGAAGCGGGCGUAGGUGGCCAAUUGAAUACAAUGUGAAAUCCCCGAGCUUAACUGGGGAAUUGCAUUCGAUACUGGUUGGCUAGAGGAUGGGAGAGGAUGGUAGAAUUACAGGUGUAGCGGUGAGAUGCGUAGAGAUCUAGAGGAAUACCGAUGGCGAAGGCAGCCAUCUGGCCUAAUACUGACACUGAGGUGCGAAAGCAUGGGGAGCAAACA
rnacentral:rRNA from 1 species